AGUUCGGAUUGAAGGCUGAAAUUCGCCUUCAUGAAGUCGGAAUUGCUAGUAAUGGCAGGUCAGCAUACUGCCGUGAAUACGUUCCCGGGCCUUGUACACACCGCCCGUCACACCAUGAGAGUUGGAGAUACCCGAAGCCUAUGAGCUAACUUUUAGAGGCAGUAGUCGAAGGUAGAAUCAAUGAUUGGGGUGAAGUCGUAACAAGGUAGC
rnacentral:rRNA from 1 species